rnacentral:lncRNA from 1 species
AUCUAAUUCUCUUUACUCAAUCAAAUUAAGCUAAUCAAUAAUUUAAUUACUAAUUAAUCUUCUAUUAAUUUACUAACACUUGAUGAAUAAAUUUAUUGUAACUUUUGCAUAAGGUUAACCAUCAAUCGAAUUGACGAUUAAAAUCUUGAACGAUUCUUAAUCAUUGAUCAGCCACAUCAUCAGUUAGAAACUUUUUUUGAGUGUGAUCUUAUAGGUUUAAAUCUAAGUCAGUAGUAUAAAAAUAAAUUUUUGAACCAAUCAAUAUAACCAUCUAGCAAUGGGGUCCAACGUCCGGA